CAUCUCUUUUAUUUAGGUUGAAACAUUGUUGGAACUCUCAUCAAACUUUAUUUUGUUAAUCUCCUCUGUGACAAAGCGUGACUGCCCACUCUCAUCAACUCUCAUCCUCGUUUGAUCGGGGAUUAAGAAGCAGGUCUAUAAGUUCAAAAUAUCGCACAUAACCAAAUAAAGGAAAGGGUUGUAAAGAUACUCAGUUGUGCAUUUUUUAAGGGUUGAUGCAAGUUUUAUAGCAGCCUUUUUACUGCCGUUGCAACUAACGUGUUCAUAAAAUAUGCCUUCAAGUCAUUCCCUUAUUCUUAUCAACUGGUGUCUUCACGCAAGUACAAUAAUUACAAUACUCGAAAUAAGCAUUCACCCAUGCAGAAAGUACGACGACCCUCGAAAGUGGCCAUACGCCCAGAUCACUAGAUUAGAGCGUAUAUAUUGGCAAAUCCGAAAGUAAUGGGCCGUUACACUUUCAGAGUUAUGUGGCAUUUUUAUCAAUGAUACAAAUAAGGAAAUGAUUUGAUACAAUAUUUCACCAACACUUCCAUUGCAAUGACACGAGCAAGAUGUGGUGUUUGGGUAUUACUCCGUUGUAAUCACAGCUAACCGAGGUUUCCUAUAAACAGCCUGGGUUUUGGGUAUAUAUCAUACUAUAUAAUGUUUGUUGGAUUUGAAUUUUUUAUUAUUUGCCACUAUGUCCAUUCGCAUAAAAGAAAGAUUAGGUAAGAAGUCAAUAUAUAGGAGAAAUGAUUUGCGGUAAAUAUCACCGAUAUCGGGAGGCAUCCAAAAAUCAUGCAUAAGGUGUUUGAAAGGAAGUCUCGUGGAGGUAUAACAGUACAAGGGUGGAAUGAGAGGAACGAAAGGCAAACUGAUAGCAAGUUUUCAAGUUUGUUUGCAAACUCUAGCAAGCAUGAAAUUAUACAGGACUCUUUUAAAAAUAUUAGAGAAAGAUGGGUCUGUAGUUUUCAAAUAUGUUUACAUCACCAUAGCUUUAAAGACAGGAACUAUUUUGGCAAUUUUGAGUUGUCUGCACGCAUAAAUGGUUCCGAUAUGAGUUAAAGCAAUUUUUUAUGAAAUGCAUAUAACUA